AACUCUCGAACAACAACCGUACACGUGACACCACAGGAUCCUCAAUCUCUCUUUCAGCUUCAAUAAACAACGCCAUAAAAGCAUCCUUCCAGAACCAUCUUCUUCUCUAUUCUUCUAACUUUCGAAUCCAUUCUCUCUCUACUCUCUUCAGCAAAACUGAGAAAAUGAGCAGCCGAUCGAGCCGUACACUCUACGUGGGGAAUCUCCCAGGAGAUACUCGAAUGAGAGAAGUUGAAGAUUUGUUUUACAAGUAUGGGCCCAUUGUCGAUAUUGACCUGAAGAUCCCCCCCAGACCUCCGGGUUAUGCCUUUGUUGAGUUUGAGGAUUACCGUGAUGCUGAAGAUGCUAUCCGUGGUAGGGAUGGCUAUAAUUUUGAUGGAUACAGAUUGCGGGUUGAACUUGCACAUGGGGGGCGAAGGCGUCCAUCAUCAGUUGAUCGUUACAGCAGUUACAGUGGUAGUGGAGGUAGCCGUGGAGUUUCUAGGCGCUCUGACUAUCGUGUCUUGGUGACUGGAUUACCUUCGUCUGCUUCAUGGCAAGAUCUUAAGGAUCACAUGCGGAGAGCUGGGGAUGUCUGUUUCUCUCAAGUGUUUCGUGAUCGUGGUGGUAUGACUGGAAUUGUGGAUUACACAACUUAUGAUGCUAUGAAAUAUGCAAUAAAGAAGCUUGAUGGAUCUGAAUUUCGUAAUGCAUUUUCUCGGUCUUAUGUACGGGUGAGGGAGUAUGAUUCAAGGAGGAGCUACUCUAGAAGCCCUAGUCGCAGUCCAAAUUAUUCAAGAAGCCGAAGUCGUAGCCCAUAUUACUCAAGAAGCAGAAGUUACAGUCGCAGCUACAGUGAUCAGAGCAGGAGCAUUUCUCCCAGGGCCAAGCAUUCACGUAGGUCUCCAUCUGCAUCUCCUGCUAGGUCUAGGUCUGUCUCUCAGCAUUCUUAUUCAAGAUCACCUGCCCGCUCUUAUUCAAGAUCUCCUUUGCGGCGACCUGGGAUUGGAUGUUAGGAACUUGAUGGGAUGUGGUGCUCAAAGCCUGCAACUCAUUUUGUUCUUGAGCUAGCAUGGGUCAGUAUAUGAAAGAUGGAUGGCUAGCAAUUUUAAAGCUGGAUACUGAUCUAAGUCCAAUUGGUUUGACACCACACACAACGAGUCUGCGCUAUUGACAAAUUCAAGACUUCUGGCUCUGCCAAACUUUUGCCCAGGAUUCUCAUUAAUUUGGUGAUACAUAGAUUUUGUGGAUGCAUUUCGUUCUUCUAGUAUUAUUGUGCUCCAUCGACUUUUUGCCCUUUUUUUUUCUCUUUUUUCUGUUUUGUCUAUUUUAGCUCACAUUACAUGCUGGGGAAGGAUCAUUAUUAAGUGGUGAGGGGCAAUAAUGAGAUACUGGUUUGAUGUUUUACUUUUGGUUGCUGCUAAGAUUGAUGAUCGCCAUCUAGAUCCAGAUCUCCAGUUUCACCUUAUCGUGGCAGGCAUGUGAGUAGAAGCCCAAGAGAGCGCAGUCCAAGCCAGAGUUCAAGGAGUCCAAGUGUUUCUCGAUCCCGUUCACUGUCGGUGAGAAGUGAGGAUUGAUUCUGAGUUGAUUGGUGAGUCCAGGGAUUGUGUUGAGGACAGUUUAUAUGUUAGUAAUGAAAAGCUAGAACCUUUCAUGUAGGUGAUAAAUUUCCCAAUUAUAAUUUGCUGUGAUGGAUUUAUAUGUUUGCAUGUUAUAUAAUGUUAGAUGAUAAGUGUGUGAACAAAA